CCUACGGGAGGCAGCAGUAGGGGAUAUUGCACAAUGGGGGAAACCCUGAUGCAGCGACGCCGCGUGGGUGAAGAAGCGCUUCGGCUCGUAAAGCUCUGUCAUCUGGGAAGAAAAUGACGGUAGCUGAAGAAGAAGCUCCGGCUAACUACGUGCCAGCAGCCGCGGUAAUACGUAGGGGGCGAGCGGUAUCCGGAUUUACUGGGUGUAAAGGGGGCGCAGACGGCUUGGCAAGCCAGGAGUGAAAGCCAUGGGCUCAACCCCGGGACUGCUCUUGGAACUGGGGGGCUAGAGUGCAGGAGGGGCAGGCGGAAUUCCUGGUGUAGCGGUGAAAUGCGUAGAGAUCGGGAGGAACACCAGUGGCGAAGGCGGCCUGCUGGGCUGUAACUGACGUUGAGGCCCGAAAGCGUGGGGAGCAAACAGGAUUAGAUACCCUGGUAGUC
rnacentral:rRNA from 1 species